GGGCCUCGGAACGAUAUGGGCCGCAAUCAACUGAGCCGAAGCAGACUGCAGACCCCAAGGACAACGAACCCGCGAAAUUCCAUUUCCCAGUUCUCACCAUUUCACCAACCGUUCACUCCCUCGCCGGCGCACCUCGCCGGCGUCGUGUCCUGGCACACCACCACCAGUGCACGGCACUUCUAUCUUCGUCUCCUUCUGCCCUCCCAUCCUUCAUUCUGCCGCUCGGAACGUUGGAUGUGUGCUGCUCCAGAUCACGCGGGAGGGCAAUAAGCCCUAGCUCGGCCAUCCCGGGAUGGAGGCGGCCGCCUCCAGCCUCUCGACGCUGCUCUCCACCUUGCGCGUGGACGGGCCCUGGACGCCUCCGGGAACCUGGGAGUCGGCCAUCCCUGAGAGUGGCGCCGCUCGCGUUACAGACCUCGGAGGACGCCUGCAGCCGAUCUACGAGCUCGCAUCGGUUACUGAUGAUGCUUUGAUUCAUCUGGCCUUGCAUGCGCUGUAUGGUGUCAAAUCAUCGUUAGAUGAGAUUGAGGAGCUUUCAGUGCUGUUCUCCUCAAAUCCAGCUGACAGAACCUCUAACCGUGUUACAAAUGUGUGGUUACGUUCCUCGAGCACCAUAUCUGUGGGGAGUAUUCUCAAAUCUUUACGCUCUACAGGUCUUGUGGUCUUCUUCCUUUGCAAGUUUGUGCACUUUUAUCUUGUCCAAAGUCGAGAAAUGAAUUGUGCAAGUAGAGAAGUUCAUGAACAUGAACAUCCUGGUGAUAAAGACACUGAACAGCAUCGGCCUUACAGUCUAGUAAACCAAGCAUUUGCAGCUGCAGUUAGUAAGGUCCUCGAAGGCUAUUUCUGUUCCUUGAAUACUUUACCAGCAUCAAUUAGGCUUAGGCGUUCAGUUGGCCAAUCUGGUAUACCUUCCAAGACUUCAGAUGGAAUGAGUUGUAAUUCCACUGCAGAAGUCACUCUUCUGGAAGUUUAUCUACACACUGAAGAGUUAAGAAGGCAUGUUAAAUCCCUUGGAAAUAUUUGUUUCCCUAAGUUUGCAGGUGCUACAUUGUGCCAUGAUGGUUUGGAUACUGAAGCAAGUGUGGAGUUUGAGAAUUUCCCACGGGGCACUGAUUUGCUUUCGUAUUUGUAUGUCUAUAUUCGUGAUGCCGAUCCAGUUCACUAUGGUCUUCUGAAGUAUCUUUUUAUUCGUUCCUGUGAGCCAUACUUUAACUUCAUUAAGUCAUGGAUUUACCGAGCUUCUGUUGAUGACCCUUAUGAGGAAUUUCUCAUUACACAAACUGAAAAUAAGGGUGUUCAAGGAGUCUCUUCUGACAUAACAGAUGAGUUCACCCUUUUCCCGUUAAAGGGAAGAAAUCAUGUUUCUGCUCCAUGUUUUCUAAAGGAGAUAUGCCAUCCUGUUUUGCGUACUGGGCAGCAGCUUCGAGUGCUCAUGAAUCUUCUAAAGUCGUGCAAAUUGUCUGCUACUGGAGGAGAUGGUUAUCCCUCUUGUAAUAUCAUUAAUAUGGAGGGGGUUCUCCCAUGGUUUAAUACACCAAUUGAGUCUUCAAUGAAUUCAUUUACGUUCUCAAAAAGUAGCGUGGAGGCAGUAACAUGCAAAAGGGAUGCUAUGUACAAGUUGAUGAUGGAGAAACUCCAACGUUUUUUCUCUAAUGUGGAGGUGAUUCCUUUUGAUACUGCAUCAAACAUCCUACAUAAAAGGACCAAUCUUCUGGACACAUCAGUUUCAGAUGCUGAACUGUUCAAUGGGGACAGCGACGCUGCACUACCUUGCAAUAUGUCUGCAGAUGAAAAAGAUAAUGACAUCUCUUUUAGUUCCGAAGAUUCUUCAGAUAAAGAGGAUCCCUUGGAAUCUUCAGAAUGCUCUUCUUAUACCUCUAUGGAUGACACAGAAGUUAAGAGUUCUACAGCUUGUGAAAAAAUUUCCAGUUCUAUGUUCUCAUUAUACUGUACAAGCACAGGUGAAGCAAAAUGUCCCUUGGUAACCAUGAAGCUUCUUUCUUCCCAAUCCAGUUCAGUUUACCAUGGAAUAAAUUGGGCAGUCCCUAUUGAUGAGUGCGAGAAAGAUGACAGCCUAAGUUGCAAACAUGUUCCUGUGCACUCACAGAAUGCUGAACAUACUGCGGUGCUUGAUGGUUUAGAACUGGAUUAUCAGUAUAGUCAGUUUUCGCCAUUUGACAGGUUUAUGAAGAGAACCAGUUGUUCAUCUGAAGACAUGAAUUCAGUUGAGUUCUUAUAUACUGAUCAUAAAAGGUCAGUAGAGAAAGUAUCACAUGGUAAUGCAGUUAAUGCAUUACAUUCUGAAUCAGGGCCUACUAAACUAUCAAACGGCAAAAACUAUGAGAAGUUUGGUAAUAUAAAUCAGCCAUGGUAUACCAGUAUUCCUUACAAUCUCAGUCUGAACCCCAUACUGAAGAAUGCAGCUUGUUACUGCACGGAGAGUGAUGUGCAACAGAAAAGCAAGAACCAAUCACUUGCCAGCUUUGAUUUUGAGUCAGUCAUGGAUCCAUGUGAAGUAUAUUGUGCAAGGAGCACAUCCUGCCUUGUUGAGUUUGUAAAUGGAGCAACAAUUAUACAGCCCAGUACUCAUCCUUGUGAACGGCUUGAUUGUUCUCCCAAGCUUCUUCAAGCUCAGACAAGAAGUCAGGCAUCCCUUACUUCCUCAGGAGAGAUGUCAACAAGAGACAGUCUUCAGAAAAAUGUUUAUGGUGGGGCAUUCUGGGAGAGAUCGUUACUAUAUAAUGAUAAAUCAAAAGAAAAACCAGCUGUGGACUUUAGUUCACAGUUUGAUAUGCCCCUUGAUAUAGUUAUCAACAAGUGCAUCAUGGAAGAAGUUUUGCUUCAGUAUAAAUAUGUUAGCAGCUUCACAAUGAAGUUGCUUGAGGAAGGUUUUGAUCUUUGUGCACAUCUGCUAGCCCUGCGGCGGUACCAUUUCAUGGAAAUAGCUGACUGGGCAGAUUCCUUUAUUGCUCUAAUUUAUAAUAAGAAAUGGUCAUUUGUUAAAUCUGAGCAGAAAAGAUCGGAGAUUCAAGGGCUUAUGGACUUUGCUUUGCAGAGAUCUUCAUGUGAUUCUGAUCCUUAUAAGGAAAGGUUAUUUAUAUACAUCAGGGAGCCACCUGUUGAUUCUUUUGAUGCAUCUGCAUGUGAUCUUGAUUUGCUGGAUGAUAUCUUGUUGGGUUAUAAAGCUGAAUGGCCAGUGAAUAUUGUUAUUACAGAAGACACACUUAAAAUAUAUGCUGAAAUAUUCUGUUAUCUUCUUCAAGUCAGGUUUGCAGUGUUUUCACUGACUGAAGUAUGGAGAUUUCUAAAGGUAUCUUUUCUCCAUUGAUGUUGCAGCCACAACAUUUCGUUCAUUUAGAGGAGUUGACACAGUUCAUCAGUCGCUCCAGCCAUAGAGGAUCUGACGUGUUGAAGAAAUUGAAUGUUGUAAUGAAAGUGAGGCAUAAACUUCAUCACUUUCUAUCAACACUACAGCAGUAUCUCCACUGCCAUUUAUCUGAUAUUUCGUGGCGCCGUUUUCAACAUUCCCUUAAAAAUCAGGUCAGGGAUAUACUGGAUUUGGAGUAUGUGCAUAUGUGUUAUAUUACUGAUGCACUUGACAUAUGUUUCUUAUCUGAUGAGUCAAAACAAGUUGCCACGAUAAUCAAAAGCAUGCUGCAACUGGCUUUGGAGUUACGAUCAUGCUUUCAAAGUAUUGGUGACACUUGUGAUUUACCAGUAAAUCAACUCAGUAAUCUGCAAUACCUUAUAAACUUCUCUCAGGUGGACGUAAUUAGAACAAAGUUCGAGGGUAACAUCAAAGAUUUGUAUGUUUUGCAUUCGAAAUCUUCAAAAUAUGGGGAGCUCGGUCUUUCCCGUUUCUGGGGGUAUCAGAACUACAAUGAGUACCAUUCUAUGAAAGUUAGCAAAGAUAUGGGCAGCUUCUGUUUUUGAUACGACAUCUUAAGACCGAAGGUUUGCCUUUAUCUGGUGGGGAAUAGCUCACCUUUUAAACCAUUGGUGGGAUCAUUGUGUGCAUUUGUUUGUUUCAUGGUAGUGCAGAGAGGUGCAUCAUCUAGUUCCGGGUCUUCUGGAAUCACUACAGCUUUUUGAGCCACCCAUGAGUCAUGACAGAAAUUAUUGCUUGUUUGUGCUGGUUGUAGUGCCACUUGCGGCGCAUGUGCAAGUCAUGAGGCAUACACGCUGAUUUGAUGAAAUUGCCCCUUGUAUUGGUUUUGGCGAACUAAAGAGAACUGCGGUUCAGACAUGCCAUAUACUUGGAGAUGCAUUGGUGGUUGAUUGUAAGGUUGCAAGUGCAUCUCAAAUUUACAACAAAAAUGGGAAAUCACGUGACUUGAUUAUCCUCCAUUCAGCCCUAUACAUACGCUAUAUAAUGUAUAUGCCAUUGUACAACACGGGCUUUGACAGACACCAGCUAGGCUCCAAAAGGGCAUCCCAUGUAGUAGCUUCACAGUGUGUUGCUGGAUCACAAGGAAGUUUAGUUAUGUUUCCCAAGCACAGCUGGAGAAAGUUAGUUUGGCGUCAGAUGUAUUAUGUAUAUUUAGUUCUGACUAAGCUGUACAAAGCUAGCAGAAGUGCGCAAAUGUCCUUUCUGGAUCGAUCUGCCUGUAAUUUUGAAUCUGCACAUCGAAGUAAGCAGGAAUGUUUCGUAUA